UGUAUUAGAGGCAUUGCCUGCCCAGUGACUAAAGUUAAACGGCCGCGGUAUCCUGACCGUGCAAAGGUAGCAUAAUCACUUGUUCCUUAAUUAGGGACUAGAAUGAAUGGCUAAACGAGGGUUCAACUGUCUCUUACUUUCAAUCAGUGAAAUUGACCUUCCAGUGAAGAGGCUGGAAUCUCCCAAUAAGACGAGAAGACCCUAUGGAGCUUUAAUUUACUAGUUCAACUUAUAUAAAAACAACCUAAUGGGCUAAAACAAAAUAAAUAUGAACUAAAAAAUUUCGGUUGGGGUGACCUCGGAGAAUAAAAAAUCCUCCGAAUGAUUUUAACCUAGACUCACAAGUCAAAGUAAUACUAAUAUCUUAUUGACCCAAUUAUUGAUCAACGGACCAAGUUACCCUAGGGAUAACAGCGCAAUCCUAUUUAAGAGUUCAUAUCGACAAUUAGGGUUUACGACCUCGAUGUUGGAUCAGGACAUCCCAAUGGUGCAGAAGCUAUUAAUGGUUCGUUUGUUCAACGAUUAAAGUCCUACGUGAUCUUG
rnacentral:rRNA from 1 species